GCUCGCUGCCAGCGUUGUGGGUUCUGGUGGGGGUACAGACCCCACACAGGCCCUAUAUAGGGGUACAGACCCCACACAGGCUCUAUAUAGGGGUACAGGUCCCACACAGGCUCUAUAUAGGGGUACAGGUCCCACGCAGGCCCUAUAUAGGGGUACAGGUCCCACGCAGGCUCUACAUAGAGGGGUACAGGCCCCACACAGGCCCUAUAUGGGGUACAGGUCCCACGCAGGCUCUAUAGACAGGUACAGGUCCCAUGCAGGGGAUACGGGCCCCGUGAGGAGAGUACCGGGUCCACUCAGGCCUUGUACGGACCCCACGCAGGUUUACAGGCCCUACACAGAAACACAGACCCCGCGGAGGCCCCACACAGGGGUACAGACCAUGCACGAGGCCACCGAACCCACGCACGGAGCACAACUCCUUCGACACCCCACCCGCUCGCC
ensembl:lncRNA